ACUAGUAAUUUGAGUUACAAGCUCCGUCACGGAGCGAAUUAAACUCAUAAGUCAAGGCCCCACUGUAUAUUAUUGAUUACUGGUUUGUUUUAGGCAUUUAAGUCUAACAAACAGUUGGCAUAUGGGCAGUCACUUUGGUAAUAAUAGAAUGCUAGUGAUGAUCACUUGAUGGACAUUUAUUACAUGCCUGUUUUGUUUUUGUUUCCCCCUCUGGAUACCUAAUGUGUGUAUAUUACUUUUUUGGUGAACUUUUCUCUUGAAAGAUUUGGCUGUGAUAUUCAGGGCUUUUUAUUAUUAUGCUUUUCUUCUAAGUUUAAGUAUUAGCUGGCUACUGCUACCAGAAAAUACCAUAUGAAAGCUAAAAUUUACUGUUGAAAAAUCAGCUAAUUUAGGUAAUUCAAAUAUUUUUAGAAAAACAUCUGGAUAAUUUAUUGGCCCACUUAGUAUUGUGUAGACACCUUUCACAAUUCCCAUUGCAUAGGUUUUCAUUGUGGAGUAGUCAGCUUGAUUCACUUUAAUAUGCUUUGCAUGUAAAAUAAAUACUCAAUAAAAAAAGUAAAUUUUCAUUUAUUUUUAACACUGGUUAUUUCCUUACUGUACUGUCAGUAAAAUCCUGACCAUGAAUAUUACUUUUGAAAGUAAAUGCUAAUAUUCUAAUUAACUUAUGUGCCUCUUACUGAAAUAGUAUGCAGUACAUUAGAAUUUUUAUUUAGUAUAUUAUAGAAGGUAAAAUUUUCUAAAAAUGAAAAUAUAGGUUGGAUAAGAUCUGACUACAUUAAUGGUGAGGCUCUUUGAAUAACUGAAGACGUGUACACAUGUUCAAGCUGACUGAACAUUUUAAUUAUCUUUGUAUUUUAAAACUACAUGAGUAAUUUCUUAAUUCAAAUAAGAACUGUUAUCAACUACAUCUGCUGGUGUUCAAAGAAUCUCAGGUCCUUCAUAGUUUGAAAAAGAUAGAGGUCUGAGAAUGUAAAAAUCCAGUCUUUGUUUUUUUAGUAAAUGGUUUUCAUAACUUUUUGCUAGUAUGCCAUUCUUCAUACACCCUCACAAGCUAAUCAGUCUUCUUUACUUCUAGAACUCUAAGUUAAUCUUUUCAGUAAUGUCAUACAUGUCUAACAAGUGAACAAGCAUCCUUCAGUCAGAAUGUGUAGAUAAUGUCUCAAGUCCUUUUAUAAGAACAUACUCCAUUACUGGAGCGAGCCUACUGAAAACAUUCGCAAGGUCUCUUAAUCUUAAUGGAAACUGGAGCCAUUUAUCUUAGACUUCAUCAAAUAUCCUUUUUAAAUUCUCGAUUCACUCUAUGUGUGCACACAAUUCUAUCAGUAACUGUAAAUGCCCACAUAUUUUCUUAAUCUCUUGCUUCUAGUUUCUCUUUUCACCUCUGCAAGAGCUUACAUUUUAUUCCUGGUCAACUUCUUGGAAAGAAUUUAUGUAAUGUUGGACCUUUAUGUUAAAGAGAUGGAUAAAAGAUAUAAUAUCUUUUACAAUCCAUUCAUUUUAUUUUGAUUUCUAACCAGAUAAGGUUUAAAAGGAAGCUAAAAAUGAAACUUCCCUAUUAAUACUGGAUCAAAUGUACAAUUUUACUUGCACUUUCAAAAAAUUUCUGUGACUGAAUAAAGAUGCCUUUAAAAGGAAAAAGCUCACUAUUUUAGUUUUAUGGAAGCAAAUUAAGAAAAAUUAAUAGAAAGGUAUCUGAUUUCUUUUUAUUAUUUUUAGUACAAAAGUAUAAACAAAACUAUCAAAGACACAGGAAAUCCCAUUUGAAAAACCUUCAAAUCACUUUUGUAAUGGACCAGAGCCCAAGCAAACUCCAAAGGGAGCUUGGCUGUACUUUGAGGUCCAACUGAAGCAAGUCAGAACUCUUUCCUAAAAAAGAGUGCAGUAUGUGUUGAUGCAAAUGUAAUGUAAUCUCUGUAGUCCCUGGUAAACUGUGAGUACUCAGGAAACAGCAAAGUUUUGGGUAAAGCAAAACAUCUUUUACAAAGAAAGGCCUUCUUGAGUUUGUUUACUUCAGAAGCUCAAAAUACUUCCCAGUUAGGUCUGUCUUACUCUCAAAUCCCCUGGCUCAACCUGGGCCUGUGUUCCUAUGAAGAAAUGUCUGUGCCCAAACUCCUGAACAAAUAUAUAGUCUCUGGCAGUGCCAUUAACCAAGGUGAUAGGGGAACUGAACAAACGGUGAAUCAGCUUGAGUUCACGAAGGCUGGCAACGAGUCCCUUUCUGUGCUCCUCCACUUGUUUUCUCAGGGUCCCUGACCACUAGUGGCCCGGAUGUCCUGACAGCAGAGCACAGGAAGCAUAUCGAAGCCAAGGGCUGUUUGUCUCCUGACCUGCUCCGGCGUAACCACAAGCAGUUUCUGUUGAUUUGAGUACUAUAGGGCAGCAAAACAGAGGAUGGCAAUUAGAGGUGUUGGUACU